UACGUAGGGGGCAAGCGUUGUCCGGAAUCAUUGGGCGUAAAGAGCGUGUAGGCGGCCCGAUAAGUCCGCUGUGAAAGUCCAGGGCUCAACCCUGGGAUGCCGGUGGAUACUGUCGGGCUUGAGUCCGGAAGAGGAGUGUGGAAUUCCUGGUGUAGCGGUGAAAUGCGCAGAUAUCAGGAGGAACACCAACGGCGAAGGCAGCUCACUGGGACGGUAUUGACGCUGAGACGCGAAAGCGUGGGGAGCAAACAGG
rnacentral:rRNA from 1 species